ACACACACACACACACACACACACACACACACACAAUAGAUCACUAGAGGAUAAACACUGUGUGUUUAUUCACUAAAUUAUGAUCUGGAAACUCAAUGUUUGGAAGACAAUCAGUUCAAUUUAGCUUUUGCUCCACCUGGGCUUCAAAACCUGGUGUGUUUUAAUAAUAUCCGAGUUGAACUAUAGACUACAUCAGUGUUGCUCAAGUUUUAAUAGUAAAAUCAUUUAAAUGUAAUAUACUAAAGCAGGUACCACAGAGAUACCAUAGUUCUUAAAUUCACAAGGGUUAUUAAAAUAUUAUCUUAGAAUUGUGAUUACGAAUGAAAAAAAAAAUGCAAAAUGUUCAGGGUCAUUCACUAAACACAAAUUGGAGAGUAUUGCUGGAUUGGAAAGAGUCACCUAUGUUUUCAGCAGUUAUUGUCUAAAAUUUGCAGAUCCAUUCUGACUAUUGACUGUUUAGUGAAUAAACCUGAUUUGGCUUCUAAAGCACGGGAGAAUAAGUUAAAAGUAAAACAAGGCUGAUAUUUUCAUUUUGGCUCUACAAAGCAACAUAUAUGCCGAUUUGUCUAAAGAAAUCCACAGAAAGAAAACAUUCAAGGGAUUAACUAACAAUGAUGAACCUUUCUUGUAUAAAUCAAAGUUGAAUAUUUAAAGCAGAUCAGUCACUUUUUUUCCAAACCCACACCCUGUUUUUUGGUUGUUUUUUUUUUUUCUUCAAACUUACUUUUUUUUUUCAUUACGCAUAACUGAUGACAAACUUAAUUCACGCUUUGCAGUCAUUGUCAAUGGUUGUGAUCACCUCCUUCCAGUAUUGCGCCUCUUUGGCUAGUGGCGAGAGUCAACACAGGCCUAUUGGAAGCCUUGGGUGUGCAUGUCAUUUGACACUCACGCCCAAGGGAGGGCAGAGUAUGGGAUUCCUGGCACCGCCAUCUUAAGAACACAAAGAUGACGACGCCUUGAGAUAAGAUCCAGCAGGACUGGCACAAUAUUGGAAAAGGUAAGCCGCACUGCUCUCGGGACUAGAAAUGGUUUUCAGGGGUUGUGGGCUAUAAAGAAGCUGGGGGCUGUACCAUCAAACAAUAACAGAUCCGCUUAUAGUAAUAUGCUGUAUAUUGAAUAUUCUAAGUUGGUUCCUGCAAACACCAUUUAGCUUUUUUUCUCCCAUAUGUUUAUAAAACAUUUAUAUGUACUACCUUCAGACAC